rnacentral:rRNA from 1 species
UGGAUGAUGUGGAUUAAUUCGAUGCAACGCGAAAAACCUUACCUACCCUUUGACAUGUCCGGAAUCCUGCAGAGAUGCGGGAGUGCCCGAAAGGGAAUCGGAACACAGGUGCUGCAUGGCUGUCGUCAGCUCGUGUCGUGAGAUGUUCGGUUAAGUCCGCUAACGAGCGCAACCCUCGUCGUAUGUUAUAUGUGUCAUACGAGACUGCCGGUAAAAGCCGGAGGAAGGUGAGGAUGAUGUCAAGUCAGCAUGACCUUUAUAUCCAGGGCUACACACACGCUACAAUGGUCUGUACAAUGGGUAGCCAAGCCGCGAGGCGGAGCCAAUCCUGAAAGCAGGCCUCAGUUCAGAUUGCAGUCUGCAACUCGACUGCAUGAAGCCGGAGUUGCUAGUAACCGCAGGUCAGCAAUACUGCGGUGAAUACGUUCCCGGGUCUU